GACGAACGCUGGCGGCGUGCUUAACACAUGCAAGUCGAACGGAAAGGCCCUGCUUUUGUGGGGUGCUCGAGUGGCGAACGGGUGAGUAACACGUGAGUAACCUGCCCUUGACUUUGGGAUAACUUCAGGAAACUGGGGCUAAUACCGGAUAGGAGCUCCUGCUGCAUGGUGGGGGUUGGAAAGUUUCGGCGGUUGGGGAUAGACUCGCGGCUUAUCAGCUUGUUGGUGGGGUAGUGGCUUACCAAGGCUUUGACGGGUAGCCGGCCUGAGAGGGUGACCGGCCACAUUGGGACUGAGAUACGGCCCAGACUCCUACGGGAGGCAGCAGUGGGGAAUAUUGCACAAUGGGCGGAAGCCCGAUGCAGCAACGCCGCGUGCGGGAUGACGGCCUUCGGGUUGUAAACCGCUUUCGCCUGUGACGAAGCGUGAGUGACGGUAAUGGGUAAAGAAGCACCGGCUAACUACGUG
rnacentral:rRNA from 1 species